rnacentral:rRNA from 1 species
GAUGAACGCUGGCGGCGUGCCUAAUACAUGCAAGUCGAGCGAACAGACGAGGAGCUUGCUCCUCUGACGUUAGCGGCGGACGGGUGAGUAACACGUGGAUAACCUACCUAUAAGACUGGGAUAACUUCGGGAAACCGGAGCUAAUACCGGAUAAUAUAUUGAACCGCAUGGUUCAAUAGUGAAAGACGGUUUUGCUGUCACUUAUAGAUGUAUCCGCGCCGCAUUAGCUAGUUGGUAAGGUAACGGCUUACCAAGGCAACGAUGCGUAGCCGACCUGAGAGGGUGAUCGGCCACACUGGAACUGAGACACGGUCCAGACUCCUACGGGAGGCAGCAGUAGGGAAUCUUCCGCAAUGGGCGAAAGCUUGACGGAGCAACGCCGCGUGAGUGAUGAAGGUCUUCGGAUCGUAAAACUCUGUUAUUAGGGAAGAACACAUGUGUAAGUAACUAUGCACGUCUUGACGGUACCUAAUCAGAAAGCCACGGCUAACUACGUG